rnacentral:ncRNA from 1 species
UCAAAUGCAACGAAGAGGAAUAGUAGAAUUUCGAGUGUAUUCAGAGAACCGCUGGGUGGUGCGAAGCGGCUGCAUGACAGAUUUGAACUCGCCUCUGAGCAGCGUGCUGAACCGCAUCUGCUGCGUCAUCCUUUUAUUAUCCCCGGUAUAAACCAUACCGGAGAUGCAUAGAGAUAACAUACAGAUAAUAAAAGGACGCAGAAUCAUAACAUUGCAGCAGCAAAUGUACAGGAUGCAGUAGGCAUAGCCGGAGCCUGACCGUUACAGCAGGAGGAUAUAAGGCUUAUUUAAGUCCGUAUCUGUGAUGAGCGCAUACAUUUUGUAUGAAUAAGAGUGGUACCGCGUGAGUUUUCUCCGUCUCUUUC